CCUACGGGAGACAGCAGUGAGGAAUAUUGGUCAAUGGGCGCGAGCCUGAACCAGCCAAGUAGCGUGAAGGAUGACUGCCCUACGGGUUGUAAACUUCUUUUAUAAAGGAAUAAAGUGAGGCACGUGAGCCUUUUUGUAUGUAUUUUAUGAAUAAAGGUCGGCUAACAUCGUGCCAGCAGCCGCGCUAAUACGGUGGAUCCGAGCGUUAUCCGGGUUUAUUGGGUUUAAAGGGAGCGUAGAUGGGUUGUUAAGUCAGUUGUGAAAGUUUGCGGCUCAACCGUAAAAUUGCAAUUGAUACUGGCAGUCUUGAGUGCAGUUGAGGUAGGCGGAAUUCGUGGUGUAGCGGUGAAAUGCUUAGAUAUCACGAAGAACUCCGAUUGCGAAGGCAGCUUACUAGACUGCCACUGACACUGAGGCUCGAAAGUGUGGGUAUCAAACAGGAUUAGAUACCCGUGUAGUC
rnacentral:rRNA from 1 species